UCGGGAAGAAAGCUUGCUUUCUUUGCCGGCGACCGGCGCACGGGUGAGUAACACGUAUCCAACCUGCCCUUUACUCGGGGAUAGCCUUUCGAAAGAAAGAUUAAUACCCGAUAGCAUAAUGAUUCCGCAUGGUUUCAUUAUUAAAGGAUUCCGGUAAAGGAUGGGGAUGCGUUCCAUUAGGUUGUUGGUGAGGUAACGGCUCACCAAGCCUUCGAUGGAUAGGGGUUCUGAGAGGAAGGUCCCCCACAUUGGAACUGAGACACGGUCCAAACUCCUACGGGAGGCAGCAGUGAGGAAUAUUGGUCAAUGGGCGCUAGCCUGAACCAGCCAAGUAGCGUGAAGGAUGAAGGCUCUAUGGGUCGUAAACUUCUUUUAUAUAAGAAUAAAGUGCAGUAUGUAUACUGUUUUGUAUGUAUUAUAUGAAUAAGGAUCGGCUAACUCCGUGCCAGCAGCCGCGGUAAUACGGAGGAUCCGAGCGUUAUCCGGAUUUAUUGGGUUUAAAGGGAGCGUAGGUGGACUGGUAAGUCAGUUGUGAAAGUUUGCGGCUCAACCGUAAAAUUGCAGUUGAUACUGUCAGUCUUGAGUACAGUAGAGGUGGGCGGAAUUCGUGGUGUAG
rnacentral:rRNA from 1 species